rnacentral:tRNA from 1 species
GUGGAUGGCUCAGUGGUUGAGAGCACUGGCAGUUCUUCCAGAGGUCCUGAGUUCAAUUCCCAGCAACCACA